rnacentral:rRNA from 1 species
CGGGGGUAGAGCACUGUUUCGGCAAGGGGGUCAUCCCGACUUACCAACCCGAUGCAAACUGCGAAUACCGGAGAAUGUUAUCACGGGAGACACACGGCGGGUGCUAACGUCCGUCGUGAAGAGGGAAACAACCCAGACCGCCAGCUAAGGUCCCAAAGUCAUGGUUAAGUGGGAAACGAUGUGGGAAGGCCCAGACAGCCAGGAUGUUGGCUUAGAAGCAGCCAUCAUUUAAAGAAAGCGUAAUAGCUCACUGGUCGAGUCGGCCUGCGCGGAAGAUGUAACGGGGCUAAACCAUGCACCGAAGCUGCGGCAGCGACGCUUAUGCGUUGUUGGGUAGGGGAGCGUUCUGUAAGCCUGCGAAGGUGUGCUGUGAGGCAUGCUGGAGGUAUCAGAAGUGCGAAUGCUGACAUAAGUAACGAUAAAGCGGGUGAAAAGCCCGCUCGCCGGAAGACCAAGGGUUCCUGUCCAACGUUAAUCGGGGCAGGGUGAGUCGACCCCUAAGGCGAGGCCGAAAGGCGUAGUCGAUGGGAAACAGGUUAAUAUUCCUGUACUUGGUGUUACUGCGAAGGGGGGACGGAGAAGGCUAUGUUGGCCGGGCGACGGUUGUCCCGGUUUAAGCGUGUAGGCUGGUUUUCCAGGCAAAUCCGGAAAAUCAAGGCUGAGGCGUGAUGACGAGGCACUACGGUGCUGAAGCAACAAAUGCCCUGCUUCCAGGAAAAGCCUCUAAGCAUCAGGUAACAUCAAAUCGUACCCCAAACCGACACAGGUGGUCAGGUAGAGAAUACCAAGGCGCUUGAGAGAACUCGGGUGAAGGAACUAGGCAAAAUGGUGCCGUAACUUCGGGAGAAGGCACGCUGAUAUGUAGGUGAAGUCCCUCGCGGAUGGAGCUGAAAUCAGUCGAAGAUACCAGCUGGCUGCAACUGUUUAUUAAAAACACAGCACUGUGCAAACACGAAAGUGGACGUAUACGGUGUGACGCCUGCCCGGUGCCGGAAGGUUAAUUGAUGGGGUCAGCGCAAGCGAAGCUCUUGAUCGAAGCCCCGGUAAACGGCGGCCGUAACUAUAACGGUCCUAAGGUAGCGAAAUUCCUUGUCGGGUAAGUUCCGACCUGCACGAAUGGCGUAAUGAUGGCCAGGCUGUCUCCACCCGAGACUCAGUGAAAUUGAACUCGCUGUGAAGAUGCAGUGUACCCGCGGCAAGACGGAAAGACCCCGUGAACCUUUACUAUAGCUUGACACUGAACAUUGAGCCUUGAUGUGUAGGAUAGGUGGGAGGCUUUGAAGUGUGGACGCCAGUCUGCAUGGAGCCGACCUUGAAAUACCACCCUUUAAUGUUUGAUGUUCUAACGUUGACCCGUAAUCCGGGUUGCGGACAGUGUCUGGUGGGUAGUUUGACUGGGGCGGUCUCCUCCUAAAGAGUAACGGAGGAGCACGAAGGUUGGCUAAUCCUGGUCGGACAUCAGGAGGUUAGUGCAAUGGCAUAAGCCAGCUUGACUGCGAGCGUGACGGCGCGAGCAGGUGCGAAAGCAGGUCAUAGUGAUCCGGUGGUUCUGAAUGGAAGGGCCAUCGCUCAACGGAUAAAAGGUACUCCGGGGAUAACAGGCUGAUACCGCCCAAGAGUUCAUAUCGACGGCGGUGUUUGGCACCUCGAUGUCGGCUCAUCACAUCCUGGGGCUGAAGUAGGUCCCAAGGGUAUGGCUGUUCGCCAUUUAAAGUGGUACGCGAGCUGGGUUUAGAACGUCGUGAGACAGUUCGGUCCCUA